GGGUUUGAGGAAAGUAAAGAAAUUAGGUGAGUACUCCCCUUGACAGGAACGGAAAAAAUUCUGGUGACCUAACACCACAUGCGUUCAUUUAAGAUUUCACCACCUCUUUGUCGCCCUCUAACAAUAUGUUUUU
ensembl:snRNA RNA, U6atac small nuclear 39, pseudogene